rnacentral:rRNA from 1 species
UACGUAGGGGGCAAGCGUUGUCCGGAAUCAUUGGGCGUAAAGCGCACGUAGGCGGUCUGUUAUGUCGGAUGUGAAAGCCCUCGGCUCAACUGAGGAAGUGCAUCCGAAACUGGCAGGCUAGAGUACCAAAGAGGGUCGCAGAAUUCCCGGUGUAGAGGUGAAAUUCGUAGAUAUCGGGAGGAACACCGGUGGCGAAGGCGGCGACCUGGGUGGAUACUGACGCUGAGGUGCGAAAGCGUGGGGAGCAAACAGG